GAAAUGUCAGAUGGUAAAAAUAAGCAAGAGUUCCAGAUGGGGUAACUGGAAGAGAAACAUGACAAAGAUGGCAAUGGGAAAGCUUCAGAUUCUCAUGUGAUUGGGAGUCCCAUAUCCUCACCUGUGACUUCCAAACCCACUGUCUGGGCAAGCCCUUGUGCAAAGCAGCGUCCCGGGACAAAGUUCUUCAUUACCAGGGACUGAUUGAAACAAUGAGAAGGAGCAAGUCAUGGUGCUCACAGCCUCCCGUCUGCUGGUCUGCACAUGGGACCUCACCACACUGAGCUGCUUCCCAGUGCCACAAAUCUCACUGACCACAAUCAACUGUGUUGGCCACUUCACCAUCCCAGAGAAGGAUCUGGAGAAAGUCUGCUUGGAAGGGAUCAAGUGUGUCUGUGUGAAGAGAGAGGGCACCCUGUCCAAAGGCAAACGGCAAUUGCCCAGAGCAUGCCUUCUUGCUUCUCCCAGCGCACCCCAAAUGAACAGAAGAGUUGGCUGGAGCAGAAGGAGGCCGUUUUCACAGAUGGACUAGCUACAGAGGAUAAAGAAGGCAGUGUGCUGGCUGGGAUCUGUGUCUGGACACCUGCUUCCACGAGCAGUAUGAGGAAUGCUAAGCAGC